AGAAACUGAACCUUGGCAUCAUGUUCCUCUUGGCACAGAGGAGCCCAAAACCAUCAUCAGCUUCUUAUUUUCUCCCUCAAAAGACCUCAGGAUGCUGAUGAGUCACUGUAGCAAUGCAAAGGAAGGGAGGAGAACUCAUCAGAGGAAAGGGGCAGAUUAAUUUUUCCUGUUCCUUGCAACCCUUAAUGGAAAUGGAGCAGUCUGGAUAUUAAGGGAUGAACUUGACGAGGCUGUUGAGGCAUCAGGUGGACACUCAGAGACUUUUGUCAGCCUUCCUAACGAGGCAGAAUUGCCUCACUUCCUCAGAUAUGGAAAUGCCUCUUUGUUAAAGCAAGGCCCCGUCCCUUAUCUCUGGGUUUGGACAGCUCUGCUUUUGGCACUUUGCUGUGUGAAAGGACUCCACGCACCUCAACGUGCACACAAAGCCAGGAUCCAACGGGGGAAAAGUUUGCAACUCAGGAUUGGCUCCGAGCAGAGCAGGAGUGACCCCAUAUGGGGACACUGCAGGGCUCCUUCAGGACGGAGCUGCCUGGAACACCUCUGUAUUUGGGGAGAAACCCACAGAAGUCUGAUGGAUCCCCCCCAAGUUCCCUUUCGUUCUGUUGAAUGUGAAUGUUGCUGCUUCCAUUUUGAGGAUAAAUGGGCAUUUUCCCAUGGAACAGCCAAACUGAACUUCUGCCUCUGUAGACCUGGGCUGUUCCUGGUCUCACAACGACCUGCUUAACCAGGAGUUGGUUUUUGGAGGUGGGAGGAGGUCCAUCGUACUCCCUCUUUUCCACCAUUGUUGUUCCAAUGGCAUCAAAGGAGUAAGCACGCACGGGCUGGAAAUAGCCAGGACAGGUCAGUGGUGGUUCUCCAACCCAAAAACCAAAACCCAUCUCGUCAUCAAAGAACCAUAGGAUGGUUGGGUUGGAAGGG
ensembl:lncRNA